rnacentral:rRNA from 2 species
AGCGCAACCCUUGUUACUAGUUGCCAGCAUUAAGUUGGGCACUCUAGUGAGACUGCCGGUGACAAACCGGAGGAAGGUGGGGACGACGUCAGAUCAUCAUGCCCCUUAUGACCUGGGCUACACACGUGCUACAAUGGACGGUACAACGAGUCGCAAGCUCGCGAGAGUAAGCUAAUCUCUUAAAGCCGUUCUCAGUUCGGACUGUAGGCUGCAACUCGCCUACACGAAGUCGGAAUCGCUAGUAAUCGCGGAUCAGCAUGCCGCGGUGAAUACGUCCCCGGGCCUUGUACACACCGCCCGUCACACCAUGGGAGUUUGUAACGCCCAAAGUCGGUGGCCUAACCUUUAUGGAGGGAGCCGCCUAAGGCGGGACAGAUGACUGGGGUGAAGUCUUAACAAGGUAGCGC